AAUCUUCCACAAUGGACGAAAGUCUGAUGGAGCUACGCCGCGUGAGCGAAGAAGGUUUUCGGAUCGUAAAGCUCUGUUGUGAGUGAAGAACAAGUACAGGUGUAACUGUCUGUACCUUGACGGUACCUCAUUAGAAAGCUACGGCCAUCUUCGUUCAAGCAUCUGCGGUAAUUCGUAGGUGGCAAUCGUUGUCCGGAAUUAUAGGGCGUAAAGCGCGCGCAGGCGGCCUUUUAAGUCUGAUGUGAAAGCCCACGGCUUAACCGUGGAAGGUCAUUGGAAACUGAGAGGCUUGAGUACAGAAGAGGAAAGCGGAAUUCCACGUGUAGCGGUGAAAUGCGUAGAGAUGUGGAGGAACACCAGUGGCGAAGGCGGCUUUCUGGUCUGUAACUGACGCUGAGGCGCGAAAGCGUGGGGAGCAAACA
rnacentral:rRNA from 1 species